rnacentral:rRNA from 1 species
UACGUAGGGUGCGAGCGUUAAUCGGAAUUACUGGGCGUAAAGCGUGCGCAGGCGGUUGUGCAAGACAGAUGUGAAAUCCCCGGGCUCAACCUGGGAAUUGCAUUUGUGACUGCACGGCUAGAGUGUGUCAGAGGGGGGUAGAAUUCCACGUGUAGCAGUGAAAUGCGUAGAGAUGUGGAGGAAUACCGAUGGCGAAGGCAGCCCCCUGGGAUAACACUGACGCCUCAUGCACGAAAGCGUGGGGAGCAAACAGG